GACGAACGCUGGCGGCGUGCCUAAUACAUGCAAGUCGAACGAACCGCGACUAGGUGCUUGCACUUGGUCAAGGUGAGUGGCGAACGGGUGAGUAACACGUGGGUAACCUACCUCAUAGUGGGGGAUAACAGUCGGAAACGACUGCUAAUACCGCAUAGGACAUAGGAUCACAUGAUCCAGUGAGGAAAGGUGGCGCAAGCUAUCGCUAAGAGAUGGACCCGCGGUGCAUUAGCUAGUUGGUAGGGUAAAGGCCUACCAAGGCGAUGAUGCAUAGCCGACCUGAGAGGGUGAUCGGCCACAUUGGGACUGAGACACGGCCCAAACUCCUACGGGAGGCAGCAGUGGGGAAUCUUCCGCAAUGGACGCAAGUCUGACGGAGCAACGCCGCGUGAGUGAAGAAGGUCUUCGGAUCGUAAAGCUCUGUUGUUAGAGAAGAACAGCGCAUAGAGUAACUGUUAUGCGUGUGACGGUAUCUAAACAGAAAGCCACGGCUAACUACGUG
rnacentral:rRNA from 1 species